UGGUGCACGUGCGAGUGCUUGUUGUGAGGCCAAAAAUUGCAUCUUCUUCUUCCACAAAAAAUGAUAAGAAAGAAAGAUAUCUGUGAACACAAAAACAUCUACUUGUAAGAGCAAGCUUUUUUGUGUGUCGCCCAAAAUGUCCGCUUUCUGUGCCGUUUCGCUGUUUCCGUACAGCCUUUUAUGGCGACCCAAGCUUACGAGGCGUUCCGUUUCGUGCUCUGUCGACUCUCUCUUGCUGAUAUAGGAAAAACAAUUGGAUGAAAAUAUUGGUGAGCUUAAUUUUGACUAGCCAGAGUGAUUGUGAGAGGCUUUGUUUGGUGGAGUUGUAUAUGAUUUUGCACAACUUUGUGGGUGGUAUAAUUAUGAUAAAGAUAGUUUGUAUUUGUUUAGUUUCAUUUUCUUAAUUAGCAAAAAGAACAUUGCUAGU